UCCUCCGUGGCGCAAUUGGCUAGCGCGUCGUGAGUUCCUUCCCCCAUGUCUGACACCGGACACCAUCGUGGGUGUUGCUGUUGUUUACUAACUGUAUUUGUCAGUGACUGUUAAUCAGGAGGUUGACAGUUCAAGCCUGUCCGGGGGAG